GGUCAAUCCAGUUGCAAAGGCAACUGGAGCUGUUAAUUUUGUUGUUAAAAGACAAACUGAUGGGAAAUUAUGUGGCUAUAACACAGAUUGUUAUGGUGCUAUUUCAGCCAUUGAAGAUGGAUUACUUGGUUUGCAUAACGUUAGCUCCACAGUUGGAUCACGCUUAGCUGGUAAGCUCUUUGUUGUCAUUGGUGCUGGUGGAGUUGGCAAAGCUCUUGCUUAUGGUGCAAAACAGAAGGGAGCCAGGAUUGUG
rnacentral:misc_RNA from 1 species